rnacentral:rRNA from 1 species
CCUACGGGUGGCAGCAGUGGGGAAUAUUGGACAAUGGGCGAAAGCCUGAUCCAGCCAUGCCGCGUGUGUGAAGAAGGCCUUCGGGUUGUAAAGCACUUUCAGUGGGGAAGAAAGCCUUGGGGCUAAUACCCUCGAGGAAGGACAUCACCCACAGAAUAAGCACCGGCUAACUCCGUGCCAGCAGCCGCGGUAAUACGGAGGGUGCGAGCGUUAAUCGGAAUUACGGGGCGUAAAGCGCGCGUAGGCGGUCUGAUAAGCCGGUUGUGAAAGCCCCGGGCUCAACCUGGGAACGGCAUCCGGAACUGUCAGGCUAGAGUGCAGGAGAGGAAGGUAGAAUUCCCGGUGUAGCGGUGAAAUGCGUAGAGAUCGGGAGGGAUACCAGUGGCGAAGGCGGCCUUCUGGACUGACACUGACGCUGAGGUGCGAAAGCGUGGGUAGCAGACAGGAUUAGAUACCCCUGUAGUC